rnacentral:rRNA from 1 species
AUUGAACGCUGGCGGCAUGCCUUACACAUGCAAGUCGAACGCGAAAGGGGGCAACCCCGAGUAGAGUGGCGAACGGGUGAGCAAUACAUCGGAACACGUCCUGUAGCGGGGGACAACCCGAGAAAUCGGGGCUAAUACCGCAUACGAUCCAAGGAUGAAAGUGGGGGACCGCAAGGCCCCACACUAUAGGAGUGGCCGAUGCCGGAUUAGCUAGUUGGCGGGGUAAUAGCCCACCAAGGCUACGAUCCGUAGCUGGUUUGAGAGAACGACCAGCCACACUGGGACUGAGACACGGCCCAGACUCCUACGGGUGGCAG